rnacentral:misc_RNA from 1 species
UUGAUUUUAGUUAUUUGUGAACGUACUACGAACAAACAGAAAAAUAUUAUGGUCAAAAAAAAAUUAAAUCA